ACGCUGACAGAAUGCUUAACACAUGCAAGUCUAUGAGGAAGUUUAGCUUGCUAAAUGGACUCAUGGCGGACGGGUGAGUAACGCGUAAAGAACUUGCCCUUUAGACUGGGAUAACAGAGGGAAACUUCUGAUAAUACUGGAUAAGUUAGUAUAUCGCAUGAUAUGCAAAUGAAAGCUACGGCACUAAAGGAGAGCUUUGCGUCCUAUUAGCUAGUUGGUAAGGUAAGAGCUUACCAAGGCGAUGAUAGGUAGCCGGCCUGAGAGGGUGGACGGCCACAAGGGGACUGGGAUACGGCCCUUACUCCUACGGGAGGCAGCAGUGGGGAAUAUUGGACAAUGGAGGGAACUCUGAUCCAGCAAUUCUGUGUGUGUGAAGAAGGUUUUAGGACUGUAAAACACUUUUAGUAGGGAAGAAAAAAAUGACGGUACCUACAGAAGAAGCAACGGCUAAAUACGUGCCAGCAGCCGCGGUAAUACGUAUGUUGCGAGCGUUAUCCGGAAUUAUUGGGCUUAAAGGGCAUCUAGGCGGUAAGACAAGUUGAAGGUGAAAACCUGUGGCUCAACCAUAGGCUUGCCUACAAAACUGUUGAACUAGAGUACUGGAAAGGUGGGUGGAACUACACGAGUAGAGGUGAAAUUCGUAGAUAUGUGUAGGAAUGCCGAUGAUGAAGAUAACUCACUGGACAGAAACUGACGCUGAAGUGCGAAAGCUAGGGGAGCAAACAGGAUUAGAUACCCUGGUAGUCCUAGCUGUAAACGAUGAUCACUGGGUGUGGGGAUGCGAAGUCUCUGUGCCGAAACAAAAGCGAUAAGUGAUCCGCCUGGGGAGUACGUUCGCAAGAAUGAAACUCAAAGGAAUUGACGGGGGCCCGCACAAGUGGUGGAGCAUGUGGUUUAAUUCGACGCAACGC
rnacentral:rRNA from 1 species